rnacentral:rRNA from 1 species
UGAAAUCUGGCCCUUGGGUCCGAGUUGUAAUUUGUAGAGGAUGCUUUUGGUGCGGUGCCUUCCGAGUUCCCUGGAACGGGACGCCAUAGAGGGUGAGAGCCCCGUCUGGUUGGACACUAAGCCUCUGUAAAGCUCCUUCGACGAGUCGAGUAGUUUGGGAAUGCUGCUCUAAAUGGGAGGUAUAUGUCUUCUAAAGCUAAAUAUUGGCCAGAGACCGAUAGCGCACAAGUAGAGUGAUCGAAAGAUGAAAAGCACUUUGAAAAGAGGGUUAAACAGUACGUGAAAUUGUUGAAAGGGAAGCGCUCGUGACCAGACUUGGGCCCGGUUAAUCAUCCACCGUUCUCGGUGGUGCACUUGGCCGGCCCAGGCCAGCAUCAGUUCGGCGUGGGGGAUAAAGGUAGCGGGAAUGUGGCUCCUCCGGGAGUGUUAUAGCCCGUUGCGCAAUGCCCUGUACCGGACUGAGGUUCGCGCAUCUGCAAGGAU